rnacentral:lncRNA from 1 species
GAAGAAUUGAACCUUCUGUUGGAACAAUUUAGGCACUUUAAAGGAAUCCAUGGAUCCAGAAGCAGCAAUGGAGUUGGCUGUAAGCACCAUGCUGAUAGAUCAUUGAGAGAUUUAAGAACAAAGUAGUGGCUCCUUUUGGAAGCAGAUACUACAAAGGUUCCAGUUGUGGAAUUGACUUGGUUGUCUUCAGAGAGAAAUUCAGAACCAGAGAUAUCAAAUUACUUGAAGUUGAUUAAAAUUUUGUGAAGAAAAAUCCUGGGAAAUUAUAAAGCACUGGCAGAUGAAAGAGUGGCACAGAAUGAGGUUGGAACUGACAGGGAUUAUUUCAGGAGAAGCCCA